rnacentral:rRNA from 1 species
UACGUAGGUGGCAAGCGUUGUUCGGAAUUACUGGGCGUAAAGCGUGCGUAGGUGGUUUGUUAAGUCUGUUGUGAAAGCCCCGGGCUCAACCUGGGAAUGGCAAUGGAUACUGGCAGGCUAGAGUGCGGUAGAGGGUAGUGGAAUUCCCGGUGUAGCGGUGAAAUGCGUAGAGAUCGGGAGGAACACCAGUGGCGAAGGCGGCUACCUGGACCAGCACUGACACUGAGGCACGAAAGCGUGGGGAGCAAACAGG